rnacentral:piRNA from 1 species
UGCUAUGAAUCUGUUGUACCUUUGAGGUC